GAUGAACGCUGGCGGCGUGCCUAAUACAUUCAAGUCGAGCGAAGCGGGGACGGGUGAGUAACACGUUGAUAACCUCCUAUAAGACUGGGAUAACUUCGGGAAACCGGAUCUAAACCGGAUACUUAUCGAUCGAUCCGCCCGGCAUUCGCUCGUUGGUAAGGUAACGGCUUACAAAGGCAACGAUGCAUAGCCGACCUGCAAGGGUGAUCGGCAACACUGGAACUGAGACACGGUGCAGACUCCUACGGGAGGCAGCAGUAGGGAAGCUUCCGCAAUGGGCGAAAGCCUGACAGAGCAACGCCGCGUGAGUGAUGAAGGUCUUCGGAUCGUAAAACUCUGUUAUUAGGGAAGCGGUACCUAAUCAGAAAGCCACGGCUAACUACGUGCCAGCAGCCGCGGUAAUAC
rnacentral:rRNA from 1 species